UACGUAGGCAGCGAGCGUUGUUCGGAAUUACUGGGCGUAAAGAGUGUGUAGGCGGUGUUCCCAGUCUGUUGUGAAAUCUCCCGGCUUAACUGGGAGGGUGCAGCGGAAACUAGAAUGCUAGAGGGUGGGAGAGGUAAGCGGAAUUCCUGGUGUAGCGGUGAAAUGCGUAGAUAUCAGGAGGAACACCUGUGGUGUAGACAGCUUACUGGACCACUUCUGACGCUCAGGCACGAAAGCGUGGGGAGCAAACAGG
rnacentral:rRNA from 1 species